CAAUACAUUAUAACCAGAUUUAUUGAUGUACACAAAUAUUGCACUGUGAUUAAUUUGUUUUACGUUUCCCAUCAGUUUUAGAUAACUGCAAAGACAUGUCAUGAAAUUUGCAGACGACUGAUAUGGGUUGCAGGCGAGAUCUGGGUUGAACGCGCGAAAGCUGCAAAGACAUGCCAUGAAAUAUGCAGACGACAGACAUGCGGUGCAGACGAGAUCUGGGUUGAACGCGCGAAAUUGUUUUAUUUUAUUUCUGCGUUUUACUCUUUUUGUUUUGUAUUUCUUUUUUCUACUAGAAUGCUGGGGUAUGUAUACUUGAAGAAAAAAGACGCAGACGGACAUGGAGAUGCAGACCAAGCAAAAUGUACGUUUCUCUUUAUGAUGAACAGAUAUGUAUAUUGCUACUUACGUUAUCCAUUUUUGUAUGCAUUUUUUCAACCUGGUGGCUGAUGUUUACAAGCACGUGUGAAUAUAUCAUAUUGUAGACAAUGCAAUGGUUUAGUGGAUGGUGCAGCUAUGGUACAUGAUAUUGACUACAAGCACGUGAGUGGAUGUCAUGUUGUAGAUUCCACAGUGGUUAAUUGGAUGCUGCAAUUUGAUCCUUUUUCUGAGGUAUGUAAUUUUUCUAACAGGUACAAUUAGAUUAUUUCGUUUGAUAUCUUUUUUUGCAGUAUUCAUCCCACAAGUUACGCACAUUCCUUUUCAUUUAUUAAAUUAAUAAAUUUUCUAUAAAUUCUAUAUUUUCUGGUUAUCGUGUGGGCGUACAUGGUUUUAAUUCUUUUUUUUUUUUUUUUAACUCAUUACCGUUAAUUGUUAGAUAAUGACUACCAGUAUUCAGUUAAGCAGUGCAUAACUUUAAACCUUUAGAAAGCAAAGUACUAUUUUUCUCGUAGUAAUUCUGGAGCGUAGGAAUGUGCAUUCAACUUCUGGCUAUGGUGAAAGUAAAACUCGAAGUAUCGGACAAGAAACUCAAAACUAUUUGAUGAGAAACUCAGGCUAUCAGACGAGGAACCCGAACUAUCCGACAAGAAGCAGUUUCCUGUAUCAUACACGAAGAAAAAAUUAGUUGAUGGAACUACAGUUGUCGUAGAAUUGCCUUGCUGGUACUAAAAGGAUGCCGAGAACCAGAGGAGCACUGGUAACCAAUCGAUGUCGCUCAUCAGACGUGUUCUGGACCCCUUAUGUAAACAUAGUAAUCAACUGUUCUCGACAAGCAGACGACACUUGCUGCUUCUACCAGAUGACGCCAGUGGCGGAAGAAGUGACCCGAUGCCUGGAGUAACUUUGCAGUAUAAAAUUUUGCACUGUUCGAUUGGUCAAGAUAGAGUGGUUUUAGUGGAAUUCAGCCCUUGAUGGACAUAUCGUUUGUAUUUGCCCUGUCCUGGUGAUUGUAGAGAGCUCUUCCACACCUCGUGCACAUAUCAGAAUCCGCGAGGUAGGCGACGAAUUUAUUCAGGUUUAAAACGACAGGAAGACAGUGUUUUACAUUGUUGAAAGACAAAGAAAAAUAAUCGAUUCCAGAACGUGCCGUCCUGUGUUUGUUGUUUUCGACAGUUGAUGGGAGAGUCCGGUGCAUGCCAGAUACUAUCUAUUGAUUUCAAACACUCUAGUGAGAAAUAUAUGCAGAAGAAAGAACCAAGUAUGAUAAAUCCACGACAGACCUGGCACAAGCAUAUAGCAUGACACCACUACAGCCGCCAUGACAAAAGCUUAAUUAAACAAAUUAGACAUAAGUUAACAUGUAUAUAAUUAUACCCCAACGUACAAAGUACAUUGGACUAUGUUGGAGUCACGCAUGUCCAGUCCAUCCGUCCGUCCGUUCAUUUGUCCACCAUGGCCGCUGGGAUGAUUUUCAUAAAACUGACAUAAAUUAUAAACCACAUCAAGACGAUGUACAGAGCGCUCAACCUAGGUCACAAGGCCCAAGGUCAAGGUUACUCGUGGAGGUCAAAGGUCAAAUAGCUUAGCUUCAUGUCCGCUCUAUAUUGUCUAAACGGCUUUGAAAAUAUUUAGCUCGACUGUUUGAAGAAUAAGGAGGAUUACUGUACUUGCCUUGGCGUCUGUGUCACUGUCACCGUUGCAUUGAAAGUUAAAAUUUUAGGACAAGCUUCUCAGUGUCACUAUAUCUUCUUACUACUGCCCUUAUUAACAUCAAACUUCACAUAAGUGUUGGUCUUGGUAAGGGAAAGACAUCUAUAUGUAUUAGUUUAGGAACAAGUAUCCUAAAUGUCGAAGUCACUGGCUUAAAUAUUGUGAUAGUGCUGGUUAAAGUUUCAUGAUAAGCUUCUCAAUUUCACAAUAUAACCUCACAUAAGGAUUGAUCUUAGAACGAGGCAGAAAUCUUUUUGUUUAGGGUCAGGUUGCUCAAAGGUCAAGGUUACUGGGGUCAGAUUUUGUAACAGUAUUGGUUAAAGUCUUGUGGCACAUUUCUCAAUUUGACUUAUAUCUCAUAACGUUUCUUAGAACUGGUAUUCCUCAUGUCCUAUCCUAAACCCACACUUCAUCUAUGUUCCUUCCGACACCCACCCAAAAAUGCGUUCCAUACAAAAACAUAAUUCAUGUUUCCAUCAACUCCCCUACUCCGCUGUCUUCGCCUACCUCCUCCACCCCAUUUCACCGAACCUUUACCUUCGCCUCUAACCCCCGUCCCCUCCAGAAAAAGGAUAAAAAUCUCCUUUUCGAUCUCCCACACUUACUUAUAAUAAUAACAAUAUCUUGUUAAACAUUUUCCUUAUAGUCGAGCAGACACAAUUACCUCAGAUCACUAGGUCCAAGGUCAAGGUCACACCUAAAAUUCAAAAGUCAUGAUGACAACGUUUUACUUUCUUUUUAUCAAAUUGAGGUUUGGGAGUAUUAAUCGACUUCAGUGAUAGCCUUAGUUGAUCAGGUGUUAGUGGCAUAAAUGUGUAACAUAUGCAUUAUUAGGGGGAGGUGGGGGAUAUAGGAAUGGUCUCCGUCCAUCCGUCCGUCCGUCCGUCCGUAACACUUUCGUGUCCGGUCCAUAUCUCCUAAACGCCUUGAAGGAUUUUCAUGAAACUUUGGUCAAAUGGUCACAUCAACACGAUGUGCAGGUCUAAUGAGUUGCCAUGUCGGCUGAAGGUCAAGGUCACAACUCAAGGUCAAAGGUUUUAGCCUUCCAUUUCGUGUCCGCUCUGUAUCUCCUAAACCUCUUAAAGAUUUUCAUGAAACUUGGGUCAAAUUAUCACUUCAUCAAGACGAUGUGUAGAACUUAUGAAACAGCCAUGUUGGCUCAAGGUCAAGGCCACAACUUGGGAUAAAAGGUUUGAGCCUUCCAUUUUGUGUCCCCUCUGUAUCUCCUAAACCCCUUGAAGGAUUUUCAUGAAACCUGGGUCAAAUGAUCACCUCAUUAAGAUAAUAUGCAGAACCUAUGAGUUAGCCAUGCCAGCUCAAGGUCAAGUUUAUGAAGGUUUGAGUCUUUCAUUUUGUGUCCACUCUGUAUCUCCUAAACCCCUUAAAGGAUUUUCAUUAAACUUAGACCAAAUGAUUACCACAUCAACAAACUCAUGAUUCAGCUAUGUCAACUCAAGGUCAAGGUCACAACUCAAGGUCAAAGGUUUGAGCUCUGUAUCUCCUAAACCCCUUGAAGGAUUUUCAUGAAACUUUGGUCAAAUGAUCAACUCAUCAAGAUGAUGUGCAGAAUUCAUAAGUCAGUCAUGUCAGUUCAAGGUUAAGGUCACAGCUCAAGGUCACUAUCCAUAACAGUGGCGGGGGUUUUAGCUGUCUUUCAGACUGCCAUAUAAUAAUUGAUUUUAGGACGGGAGAUAUGUGUUUGUUUCAGUGUAAGAUCGAUCAAAUCAUUCUAAAUACAUCUCGCGAAAAUGUAAACUCUAGUGUUCAAGCGUGAAAAAUAAUCGAUUUUACUAUAAAUCAAAGAAAUUUAUAUUAUGCAAUUAAAUAUAUGUGUACUAUUAAUCAAAGAAUUUUUAUAUUAUUCAGUUAAAUAUAUGUGUACUAUAAAUCAAAGAAAUUUAAUAUUAUGCAAUUAAAUAUAUGUGUACUAUAAAUCAAAGAAAUUUUAUAUUAUGCAAUUAAAUAUAUGUGUACUAAAUUGUACACAUUUUACAAGUAUAACUUCUCACCCAACGCGCAACGUUACGCUUAAAAUUAUGGCAAUAUAUGUUGGAAAAAGUUAUAUAGUUCUACUAGGUUGAUUUCUUUUACAUUUUAAUAUAAUUAUUUUUUAAUGUUUUUUUCUAUUAUAUAUAAUUCAUAUUCCUUUGCGUUAAAUUGAUGUUGCGUGCAAGUGAAAACUGUAUUUGGAUUUCUUACUUCUGAAACAGUGGGUUUAUCAGGAUAUAAUCUAUCGUUUUAUUUCAUCAGUAUCUGAAAACUUGGCAAGAAAUUCAAUAAAACUAUAAAAUAUAGCGAUAAAAUCAUAGUUCUUUUAUUUAUUCAAACACACUUUCUACUGCACUUUGUCUGGUUGGUAUUAGUGUAGCUUU